rnacentral:rRNA from 1 species
AUUGAACGCUGGCGGCAGGCUUAACACAUGCAAGUCGAGCGGGGUGAUGGUGCUUGCACUAUCACUUAGCGGCGGACGGGUGAGUAAUGCUUAGGAAUCUGCCUAUUAGUGGGGGACAACAUCUCGAAAGGGAUGCUAAUACCGCGUACGUCCUACGGGAGAAAGCAGGGGAUCACUUGUGACCUUGCGCUAAUAGAUGAGCCUAAGUCGGAUUAGCUAGUUGGUGGGGUAAAGGCCUACCAAGGCGACGAUCUGUAGCGGGUCUGGGAGGAUGAUCCGCCACACUGGGACUGAGAAACGGCCCAGACUCCUACGGGAGGCAGCAGUGGGGAAUAUUGGACAAUGGGGGGAACCCUGAUCCAGCCAUGCCGCGUGUGUGAAGAAGGCCUUAUGGUUGUAAAGCACUUUAAGCGAGGAGGAGGCUCUUUUGGUUAAUACCCAAGAUGAGUGGACGUUACUCGCAGAAUAAGCACCGGCUAAUUCUGUGCCAGCCGCCGCCGUAA